GGCUCCAUGGGUUAGUUGGUUAAAGCGCCUGUCUAGUAAACAGGAGAUCCUGGGUUCGAAUCCCAGUAGGGCCU
rnacentral:tRNA from 1 species